AACUUGAUAUUGCCGUCCCGUGUGCGAACUUUGCUUGUUUGAGAAUGUUACUUUUCCUUCGAUCUGAUUCACUGAGCCAACGUUGAAUGUGUUUGCUCUGUUCAUGAUAAUGGCCAGUGCAUUCUUGCUACAUUUGGAGCUUUAUGUGAGUGUUUAAAACAGCCAGUGCUCAGAUGUCAGCAGACCUCAAGCUGAGGCAGAGCCAGAGCCUUCUGUUCAUUUCAAUCAAGGCUGUAAUCACUCACAAGCAGCAGUGCAGAACAAUGAAAUCCACAAUUACAACCUGGCCUGGAAGAAGUUCACCAGGCUCCAAGAUCCUGGACUUUAUCACUGACUUUUUGUUCAUCCAAGUCCUUUUGUUCAUACAAAGGGUUUUUUUUAAGAUGCACACACACACACAUCUGCUCACAUCUGUGGUGUGUUAGCAUCAUCCCACAGAUGUUUGCACAUAAACUUCUCUGCUCUCUUCCUUAUUGGUCUAUCAUGGUAACUUAAAUAUCCUCAGAGUCUCACAAAAAUUGUACUGCUGCUCCUUCUACUUGUUGCCUAUCUCUACAUUUUCAUUUCUGUCUUUACUUUUCUGUAUGUUGGAUCUGUUCGCAUGACUUCUUGUUUUCCCCAGAGGCCAGGAGACAAACAGUUUUGACUAAUGGAAGCAGAGUUUAAAUCAUGUACGACUACUUUUAGGCAUUUUCGCCUUGUUAGCUUUUGGCUUCACAGUCCAGAAAAGCCCCCCUCCUCUUUUAUAAGCAGAAACAGCAGCUUACAUCCCAGAAACUGUGGGAAACUGCCUUGGUAAAGGCAUGCUACAUAAGGUCAAAGUGCAAACAGCCAUACCACCAAAGGAAUAAGCAGACCCGUCAACAUGUUUUUGUUUGUUUGCCUCAGGGUACAAGUGCUUUUCGGGAUCAAUAUCUCAACUGAAUGGCCAGGGGAGAAAAAUUAGAACACACAAGGUGCUAAGUGGAGGAGGUACCAACCAAAUUGAAGAAAACAGGCAUAAAGAAACCACAAACUUCAACACAGUGUGGACUUAGUAGUUUUCUGGGUUAAGACUUUACAAUUAUGAGAAAGAAUCUUAGACAGCUGCUGCUGUUCUGCAUUGAUAACUUUUUGAGACAUGACAAAUGAGACUACAAACAACUGAAUUUCCCUUCUGGGAUGAUUGAUUCGUUACAGUAAAACAUUUGCUAUUGCUAUUAAUUGGAGUCAACUGUGAAUGAAAAUAGUCAGCUAAAUGUGAACUUGACUCGCGGUCUGAUACGGCAGACUGUCAAAAGUGAGGGACAAUUUUUAAGCACUUUUCGUUUCUCUUCAGCCGCUAUUUCCUAACAACAUGAAUCCUCCAGAAAUGAAGUUUUUUAUGCUGCUGAAAGUCUGAGUACAACAGUACGCUAUAGUCUAACGUUACAAAGAACAGAAUCUUGGAUCUUAAAUGAGUCACCUGGACAAAGCCCAACGUCCAACUAUCAAAGACAAAUCCUGUGUUCAUCUUUUAUGUGUCAAACCAAAACUGAUAAAUCUUGAUAAAACUGGCACGGUUUUGUUUGAACCACAUUACUUAUAUAUCUAGACAUAACACUUAAACAGAUACAAGCAACAACACCUCAGACUUGAUAAGGAACGCAGACAUGUAACCCACAGCAGAGCCAGGUUCUUAACCUGCUCAGAUAUGCAAAAUAGGGAGCUGUGGUAGCAGAAGCCUGCUCAGUAUUCACAUCCACAUGAUGCGGCAUACCUUUAGCACAUGGCAGUCUGUACUGAGGUGCCAUAAAUCCACUGGGUCGCUUUCAUCUGAGAGCGGGGCUAAAUUGACAACAAAUGUUGUCCCUCUUUUCCGCAGCCUCCUUGAGUUUCUGACAAAGUGUUUCCAGAAACUCUGCAAAAAGCGUCACGUCCUGAGGGCUCAUAUUAAUGUUAAGAGAUGUUAAAUAAGCUCAUGUCUGUUUGUAUGAAAAUACAGCACAGCAACAAACAUUCAACUGACUCACAUCUUGCACAACAGUCUGUGUCUCUUUUGGUAAUUGGAUGUAAUGUUUGGAAACAGAUCUCACAAAUAGAAAAACGACUGGUUUGUAUAACCCCAGUCCCAUGUAGCUCGUGAAUACUGACUGAGAAAUGAAAAGGGUGUUGUCACUUAAACCUGUUUUAUACUGAACCAAAAGGUUUUACCUUCAUAAUUACAACACAGGCUUUAGUUCAGCCAAGAAGCAUUAUUCAUUACAAGGUUAUGAAUUAGAUUUUCAAAUGAGUUAACUUGUUCACUGUCGACCUUUAAGCAUGCGCUGAUAACAGGAUUCAAAACUCUCAUAUUAUACUCUGGCAAGUUUGAUCUACAACUGAUCUCUGACGAACCUUAAUAGAAAAUGUAAAAUAAAUUAAAACAGCCCGGGAAACUCGAAAACUCACACCGGGCUAAAAUAAAAGACGUCACAGGCCCAGUCGAUGCUUGUGAGCAACAAACAGCUGCUUCACCGGCUUUAACCAGCGAAAACAAAAAGGCACGUGCAAAGUGUUAAUUGUUCUCACAAAUCCACACAAUCAGAGAUGAAGAUGGGGAAAUACGGGAGCAUGCAGCAAUGCGUGGCGGUAAACCACAUUCAAGUACAGCAGCUACAGUCUCUCUUCCACAGUCCAGGGCUCUCCCGGUUCUCACUCUCUCUCUCUUACGGCAAAUGUCUGUUCCUAAAUCACACAAUUACUCUUCAUAAAUAAGGUACAGGCUUAUUAUUUCAACGUCAAUGCAGACUAAACAGUGUGAAAGCCUACGACAAGGCUAAGCUAAAGGCUAGCGGAUAGACUGCAUAUGUAUAUGAAUUUACCACUGGCAGCCUCUCAAGUUCACACACAUCAGGACGACUCUCUGUCAGUCUUGGAAGUUCGGAGUGUUUUCACGUUACUUUUACAGAUUACAGCUAUUCUGCUCAGAUGCCGAUAAAGCAGACUCUGCUGUCGCUAACGUUAAACCGCUAAACACUAAGCACCUCCUACUUAAACAAGGUAAGGACAGGAUUGACUAAAGAUACAUACAUGCAAAGAUGAGAGAGUAAAGAGAUGUUCUUUUGUGCCGACAACCGAAUAUGAAUGGAUUUUAAAACUAACACCAACCUUUAAACUGUAGAGGAAAUGACUGUUUUUUUAAACAUUUUAUAAUCUAACAUUUUUAACAUAUAUACACUUCAUGAACUAUUAUUUAUUACCAACACAAACAUUUUAAUAUCUGUACAUGAAUGAAUAAAAAUAAUAGCCACAGGGCUAUAUUUGUUUUAAAACAGAAAGACUAACAAUGAAAUACAGCUUGAUUUUCUUUUCUUCUGCCUGGAAUGAGUAAGGAAAAGUUGAAUAAUGGUUUUAUUUUUGAUUUUGAUUUCUAAAAGGAAAAAUGGAAUGUAUGUAGCAGAAAACACAAAUCGUAAAAUGUUUCCAAACGUUAUGUCUAAUUACCAAACCACAGCGAACUUUAUUCUAUCCGAACACGACUCCAGUUUUCAUUUUCUGUGGAUGAAUUUAGAUCCACAAACAGACUAGUGAUACUUUUCAGCUCAAUAAUAAACACAAGCUAAGAGUGUGGUGGAGUUCUGGGUCAGGAACAGGCCCCAGGUGAGUUGGAGGAACAUCUACGGUUAAAUGUGGAGCUUGGAAAGUGAGGUCGGUUUCAUAGGCCCUGCCAAGCAAAUAAACAGUCUGAAGACAUCACAGCGGCAAGACUGGAUUCAGUGCAUUUUUCAGUCCAGCCUCAGGUCCAAAAACUACUUUAAGCAAAGCCUGAGUCCACAGACAUGUGGACUGAAAUCCUCCAGCAGCUGACCGCAGUCCAACUGUGUUAUUUAAGGCUUUGUAAACUCACAGCUUCCAACCGGGCACGAGGUACACUGUCUAUUAAGCUAUUUUUGUUCUGUGUCGACACUGACUCAGGACAGGUCUUUCGGAUAACUUGAUUGAUGAUACUGCAUUUAAAUAGCAUUAAACAGCACACCAGUGCUCAGUAGACUGAGAUAUAAUUCAGCACUCUGUCCUGAUUCACAGACCUACAAGUGGAGGUAAAAAGUAUGUGGGACAAAGGUGUCGUGAGGGAUUUGAGUUUAAGGAUUAAUCAAUCAAGUUUAAAGAUCUGAUUCUCUACAACCUCAACUUCAAAAAAGUCGAGACGCUGUUAAAAAUGUUCAUAAAAACAGAAUUUAAUGUUUUGCAAAUCAUUUAGACCCUUUAUUUGGUGAAAAAUAGAGCAAAGUAACUCAUCAAAUACUGAAACUAGAAGAACAUUGAGUUAAAUGACCUUCUCUUUUAACACCAAAUGUCUGAAACCAAGAAGAUCAGUUUAAAAGUGAAAUGUCCCAUUCUUCUCUGAAUGAACAGUUCAGGUUCUCUUUAUUGUAGUCUCUGGUUUUUCAUACAGCAAAUGUUUUCAGUCAGGACUGCAGGCAGGCUAGUGAAUGCCAGGACUCUUAUUACAGAGCCAUGCUGUUGUAAUCGCUGCAGAAUGUGGUUUGUUAUCAUCCUGCUGAUGAUAUGAAGGUCUUCCCUGAAAAAGUUGUUUUCUGGAUGGCAGCUUAUGUCGCUGUUUUUACUGCUUUAACAGUUGUGUGGCCUUUCCAGUAGAAGCUACCAAUGCCACGAGGACGAAUGCAUCUCUAUACCAUCAGGGGUGCUUACUUUGAAACUGUGCUCUGAUAGCAAACCAGAUGGCACCAAAACGAAAGUCAAAUUUUGAUCAGUCAGACCACAGGACAGUUUUCUACCGCACUUCAAUUAAUCUUAAAUGGAAAGUUAGGAAAGCUAUCAUUGUCUGGAAAUCUAAAGAUGCAGCAACAAACCGUCGUCACGUAUCAAUUUUUUUUCAAGUGUUGAAGGAAUAUUUUUCUAAAUCUGUUGAACUCCCAGUCUUUAAAAAAGGUGUGAGCCUUGUUCCUGUCUUUACUUCAGCCUCUUUAAAAUGUCAUUUAUAUACCCAGGUAAUGUGAACGUAUACUUUAACUUGCAUAGAACAGUGACAAAUAAAUACUGGGUAUAAAUUAUAUUCAAUUAAAGAUUGUUUAUAGAACAGAUGUCAUCUGCCUCCUCCCUGGGUGAAGCCUCAGAGUGAACAGCACCCUCUGGUGACGGGCUGCAGUAUAGAUCAUAAAUCCCGCCUCCUCCAGCAAUCUUAAUGAAGCUGUGGACAAACUUAAGAAAUUAAUGAAACAGAAAAUAAAUUUUUCUCCCCAUUGGUUGUGAUGUUGACAUGUAGUUAUUGUAAGACUGGUUUGUGUUCAAGUCCUCUUUUUUCUCUACAGCUCCAUUUUUAAAAGUUAUUAGGGGGUUCAUGUUUUCUGUGACUGACACUUGAUACAGCCUAUAGGGUUACAAAGAUUACAGUUCACCCGGGGGAUAUGCUGUUUGAGCCGAGCAUCAUCACAGUGACUCUCCCGCUAAAUGUGUACAACGCUACUACUCAAGUGGUGGUUCCAGGAAAUGGAGAAAAUCCCAGAGAUACUGAGAGCAAUUGGACUUCAAAUUUGUAUAAUGACAGAAGGCGGAGCCAAGUUGUCCAUAGUUAUAUACAGUCUAUGUAUUCAACCUAUUAAAAUGUGUUUUUAUUAACAGUUUAUCCAUUUUUUUUUGUAAUCUGGGUUGUACUAUUUGACAUUAUAUGACCUAGCUUGGAGUUGAAGGUGUUAAACUAAUCUCAUAGUGUAGAGAGUAAAUGAUCUUGGACUUUGGAGUUUAGCUAAAGCAUAUUAAUGUUACACAACACAGACACACUCACAAAGUUAAAUUUAGAAAACCCCAGGCUGUAUUGCUGCCAAAGCCUGUAGAUAUACUAAGGUAUAUACUGAUAAACGCAAACUCUAAUAUUCAUCAUCAUACAAGGGGGCUCAGUUUCCACCAAAACACAGUUUUCUCCUGCCAGCGAGAGUGGCAGCAGAAGGAGCAGAAAUAAGCCAAGAACACUGUGUUCAGACUGCUGCAUUACACUCACUGCUACAGAUCAGCUCAAAAACAAAUUACAGCUUGUUGAUGGUUUAAUCUUUGCUGUUAGGGCUCAUUUCCUCACACAGUUCUCCUCCUGCCAGGGCUCUGCCGCUGUAAUGGACAUUUUGCCGCCCGUUUGUCAUUUGUCAUAUGUUGUCAUUUCUUGGAUGAAUCCAGUUCAUUUUGAUCCUGAUUUAAUGACCCAAAUGUUUUGAGGGAAUUUCCUGUCUCAUAUAUUUACGUAAACCAAAUUUUAAUUUCUAAUAUGGUGCAGUGUGUAAAAACUGGAAUAUUUUGUGAUAUGUAGCUGUCAGAUUCGGGGUUGAAAUGCUUUUUCCUCAUCUAACCCAAAAGCACAUUUGUUAUUUGCGAGUUUGGUGCUACUGAAGACUAGGGUUGGGCAUCAUUUGAAUUUGAACGAUUCCAGUUGUCUUGAAACUAGUUACUUUCCCAAGGAUCACAUAGGAGCAAAUAUUGUGAUUGGUUUAAGGGUAGGGCUGGGUGAUAAAACGAUGAUGAUGUAUAUCAAAAAAUAAAUUUCCAUCGAUAUGAAACAUGGUCAAUAUGCUUUUCGAUAGCCAGCAUCCUGCCAUGUUUUUGUAGACUAUACAAAUAGCCAAUGAAAAGGGGAGUUGCUCCAGGUCUGCUUUGCACUGAACCAAUCGUGCUGAAUUAGAACCAAGUAUCAAACAACUGCGUAGUAGCAGGUAGCAGCUACACGCAACCAUAGCACAGGUAUCUUGGUUUUAUUCGGUCGGACAUUAAGCAGCGUGGUGUGCACUGCAAAUUAUGUCGACUACAUGUUCUCACAAAGUCGGGAAUACCUCAAAUCUUUUCCCCACAUGACGCAGUGCCACGCGGCAAAGCACGCACAAUGCAAAAGUUUACAAACCUCAAGCAGAUUAAGGAGCCCAUGGCGCCUGUGCAGCCGAAACAUCUGACCAUUCAGUUCGCGUUCUCUAGCGCAAAGCCGUACGACAAAAUGUCAAAGAGACACAAAGACCUCACAGAUGCAGUAGCGUAUUGUACUGCAAAAGACAUGCUACCAAUAAAAACUAUUACAUUUCAUUUGAGAGCAACAGGGAACAUUUAAGAUUGGCAAUUGAUUUUUUACAUGGUCAUAUAUAUCAAUAUCGACUGAUAUGAAAAGAUAUAUAUUGAUAGACUUUCCCAUAUGGAGCCCUAAUCAAGGGAGUUUCUUGAGUCAUGAAAUCUACAAGAGGACAAACAAGUGUGUGUGUAACAACAGACAAUGGGGCCAAUGUUGUCAGACUUUUAUGUUUGCGGACAUAUUCAAAAAAUAAAAAACAUGGGGAAAAAUAUCAUUGGGGGGGCAUUGUUAACUUCUGUCCUGUGAAUGUAUGGCAAAUCUGAAUUUGAA